rnacentral:rRNA from 1 species
UUUUAGAAAUUAAUUUAAAGUCUAACCUGCCCACUGAAUUUUUUUUAAAUGGCCGCAGUAUCCUAACUGUGCAAAGGUAGCAUAAUCAUUAGUCUUUUAAUUGAAGGCUGGAAUGAAUGGUUGAAUGAAAUAUUAACUGUUUCAUAUAAAUUUAUAAUAAAACUUUAUUUUUUAGUCAAAAAGCUAAAAUAUAAUUAAAAGACGAGAAGACCCUAUAAAUCUUUAUAUUUUAAAAAUUUUAAUUAUAUAGAUUAAUUUAAUUAUUAUUAUUUAAAAUAUUUUAUUGGGGUGAUAUUAAAAUUUAAUAAACUUUUAAUUUAUUUUAAACAUAAAUUAAUGAAUUAUUGAUCCAUUUAUUAUGAUUAAAAAAUUAAGUUACUUUAGGGAUAACAGCGUAAUUUUUUUAGAGAGUUCAUAUUGAUAAAAA